rnacentral:rRNA from 1 species
CCAGCCGUAAACGAUGAAUGCUAGGUGUGGGUGUCGCAGGGCAUCCGUGCCGCAGCUAACGCGAUAAGCAUUCCGCCUGGGGAGUACGGUCGCAAGAUUGAAACUCAAAGGAAUUGACGG